rnacentral:rRNA from 1 species
UUAGCCUACGGGACGCAGCAGUAGGGAAUUUUCGUCAAUGGGCGCGAGCCUGAACCAGCCAAGUCGCGUGAGGGAAGACGGUCCUAUGGAUUGUAAACCUCUUUUGCCGGGGAGCAAAAAGCGGUACGUGUACCGCAUCGAGAGUACCCGGAGAAAAAGCAUCGGCUAACUCCGUGCCAGCAGCCGCGGUAAUACGGAGGAUGCGAGCGUUAUCCGGAUUUAUUGGGUUUAAAGGGUGCGCAGGCGGCGAGUUAAGUCAGCGGUAAAAUUUCGGGGCUCAACCCCGACGAGCCGUUGAAACUGGC